CAUAACAUGGGCUGUGAAGACUGGAUUGUAGGCUGUUAAACAUGAAAUCAUAUUCAUCAGUACAGUCUGCUCACUAGGUCCAGGAGAAGACCAUCUACAGCACUUGCUCCUAAUAUUCUCAGUGUUUUGAGAGCAGUAGACCCAGAAGGAUCCAGAGGAGAUUGGGGUGAUAACGCAGACUCCACUCUUCCUAUCAUCCCUGCACAGCCAACCUUCAUCUCAGGAAGAGAUCACGUGUGCACUUUCACAGCUGUGCCUGGAGCCACUGCAUGGUUCAUAGGGAAGUGGGGCAUCAUGUGGGGCUUUCGGUCUUCAACCAUUUCUUCAUUAGUAAAUAUUCUUGCCCAAUGCUACAUGGGUCAUGUCACGUAUUUCCAAUUAAUUCAACAGGGCAUAGGUGAACUUCAAAAUGUGAACUGCCCUCUUCAUGUACCUGGCGAUGAAUACAGACAGGUGUUCAUUCAGGAAAGAUCUUUUAGUUCAACUGUGUGUUAAAUCUCCCUCUGUCUUUCUCUUUUGAGAACAUCUGAAAUUGCAUUGGGGGCCAACUGGUACACACAGGACAAUCUUUGACCUAGCAUAAAUGCUCUUUUUUAACAUCUGCAAAGGCCUUUUUCCCAAAUUGACAGCCUCCACAUAAUAAUAUUUGAGAGUGUAUUAAUCAUUACUGCAUCUACU
ensembl:lncRNA